CUCGCAGGCAAUCGGGGAGACGUCAAGAGAGAAGCCCAUAGAUAUAGAGUCCAUAAAAGCAACGGGACAAAAUAUUUCAACAACGUUUUUGGGGAAUUGGAAAUAAUUCGAUCUACGCUUGAAGAUGAAUGUGAUCCCUUUCAUCCUGGUCGGAAGCCAUCUACAAAAUGUCAUAGCCUACAUAACGUGAAAUAAAGAAAAAAGUUUUUUGUUCAAGUGUUUUUGACCAUGAUUUAUUAGCCAAAACUGCAUGAUUUAACACCUAGCUCA